rnacentral:rRNA from 1 species
UACGAAGGGUGCAAGCGUUACUCGGAAUUACUGGGCGUAAAGCGUGCGUAGGUGGUGCGUUAAGUCUGUCGUGAAAGCCCCGGGCUCAACCUGGGAAUGGCGAUGGAUACUGGCGCGCUAGAGUGCGGUAGAGGAGAGUGGAAUUCCCGGUGUAGCAGUGAAAUGCGCAGAUAUCAGGAGGAACACCGAUGGCGAAGGCAGCUCGCUGGGACGGUACUGACGCUGAGGCGCGAAAGCGUGGGGAGCAAACAGG